UUCCCAUGAAUUUGCACAUAAAUGUGCAUUUAAGUUGUUGUAGUUAAAAAUCUCGUAGUUGGAUCUUGGAUCGUAAAGGUCGGUCCGCCUACUUGGUGUGCACCUGCCCUUCUGCCCUUUUGUCGGUGGCGUGCUCCUGGCCUUAAUUGGCUGGAUCGCAGUUCCGACGUUGUUACUUUGAAAAAAAUAUAGUGCUCAAAGCAAGCUUAUGCUCUGAAUACAUUAGCAUGGAAUAAAGCGAUAGGAGUUUGGUCCUAUUGUGUUAUACUUCGAGACCAAAGUAAUGAUUAAUAGGGACUGUCGGGGGCAUUCGUAUUUCAUUGUCAGAGGUGAAAUUAUUGGAUUUAUGAAAGACGAACCACUGCGAAAGCAUUUGCCAAGGAUGUUUUCAUUAAUCAAGAACGAAAGUUGGGGGCUCGAAGACGAUCAUAUACCAUCCUAGUCUCAACCAUAAACGAUGCCAACUAGGGAUCAACGGAUGUUUCUCUAAGGACUCCGCCAACACCUUAUGAGAAAUCAGAGUGUUUGGGUUCCAUGGGGAGUAUGGUCGCAAGGAUGAAAAUUAAAGGAAUUGACGGAAGGGCACCGCUAGGAGUGGAUCCUGCGACUUAAUUUGACUCAACACAGGAAAACUUACCAGGUCCAGACAUAGUAAGGAUUGACAGAUUGAGAGCUCUUUCUUGAUUCUAUGGGUGGUGGUACAUGGUCGUUCUUAGUUGGUGGAGCGAUUUGUC
rnacentral:ncRNA from 1 species